rnacentral:lncRNA from 1 species
CGUUGAUGUAAUCCGAGUUGGGAUCGCCCAGCAGUGGAUGGAGCUUCACACGGUGGCGGUCAUACGUCGACACGUGAUCCUGUCUCCCUUUGGUCUUGUCUUUCUUCUUUGAAGCAUCCCAGCCUUCAAAGAAGCUCUCAUACUCCUGCUUGAAGCCGUAGCCUUCUGCUGUCUUCAUCUGGUUGAUGUGUUGGAGGAGAUCUGCCACGCGCACGGCGGGGUGCAGCUGCCCAGUGUGAUACGGGGACCCUUUGCGGCCACACUGGCGGCGAGGAGAUCCCCCCAGCAGGCUGCUGGACUCAUUGACCACACUGCUGCGCUGGUCACCACGGUUGCUGUAGU